CGGGUUGUUAAAGCACUUUCAGUCGUGAGGAAGGUAGUGUAGUUAAUAGCUGCAUUAUUUGACGUUAGCGACAGAAGAAGCACCGGCUAACUCCGUGCCAGCAGCCGCGGUAAUACGGAGGGUGCGAGCGUUAAUCGGAAUUACUGGGCGUAAAGACGCAUGCAGGUGGUUUGUUUAAGUCAGAUGUGAAAGACCCGGGGCGUCAACCUCGGAAUAGCAUUUGAAACUAGGCAGACUAGAGUACUGUAGAGGGGGGUAGGAAUUUCAGGUGUAGCGGUGAAAUGCGUAGAGAUCUGAAGGAAUACCGGUGGCGAAGGCGGCCCCCUCGGACAGAUACUGACACUCAGAUGCGAAAGCGUGGGGAGCAAACAGGAUUAGAUACCCUGGUAG
rnacentral:rRNA from 1 species